GAACCAGCGGAGGGAUCAUUA
rnacentral:rRNA from 19 species